GUGAAGGUACUGUAACAGGAGUAGUGUAAGGUGUAGUGAAGGUACUGUAACAGGAGUAGUGUAGGGUGUAGUGAAGGUACUGUAACAGGAGUAGUGUAGGGUGUAGUGAAGGUACUGUAACAGGAGUAGUGUAGGGUGUAGUGAAGGUACUGUAACAGGAGUAGUGUAAGGUGUAGUGAAGGUACUGUAACAGGAGUAGUGUAGGGUGUAGUGAAGUUACUGUAACAGGAGUAGUGUAGGGUGUAGUGAAGGUACUGUAACAGGAGUAGUGAAGGAACUGUGACAGGAGUAGUGUAGGGUGUAGUGAAGGUACUGUAACAGGAGUAGUGUAGGGUGUAGUGAAGGUACUGUAACAGGAGUAAUGUAGGGUGUAGUGACGGUACUGUAACAGGAGUAGUGUAGGGUGUAGUGAAGGUACUGUAACAGGAGUAGUGCAGGGUGUAGUGAAGGUACUGUAACAGGAGUAGUGUAGGGUGUAGUGAAGGUACUGUAACAGGAGUAGUGUAGGGUGUAGUGAAGGUACUGUAACAGGAGUAGUG